rnacentral:tRNA from 1 species
GGUCAGGUAGCUCAGUUGGUAGAGCAAUGGACUGAAAAUCCAUGUGUCGGGGGGUUCAACUCCCUCCCUGACCA